rnacentral:rRNA from 1 species
UACGUAGGGUCCAAGCGUUAUCCGGAAUCACUGGGCGUAAAGCGUGCGUAGGUGGAUGCUUAAGUGAGUUGUUAAAUCGUGUGGCUCAACCAUAUCGAUGCAAUUCAUACUGGGCGUCUAGAGGACAGCAGAGGCAAGUGGAAUUUGUAGUGUAGCAGUGAAAUGCGUAGAGAUCAUGAGGAAGACCAGUGGCGAAGGCGGGUCUCUGGACAGUUCCUGACACUGAGACACGAAGGCCAGGGGAGCAAACGGG